rnacentral:rRNA from 1 species
UACGUAGGGGGCAAGCGUUGUCCGGAUUCAUUGGGCGUAAAGAGCUCGUAGGCGGCUUGGCAAGUCGGGUGUGAAACCUCCAGGCUCAACCUGGAGACGCCACCCGAUACUGCCAUGGCUAGAGUCCGGUAGGGGACCACGGAAUUCCUGGUGUAGCGGCGAAAUGCGCAGAUAUCAGGAGGAACACCGGUGGCGAAGGCGGUGGUCUGGGCCGGCACUGACGCUGAGGAGCGAAAGCGUGGGGAGCGAACAGG